rnacentral:rRNA from 1 species
CGGCGGACGGGUGAGUAACGCGUGGAUAACCUGCCUUAAUGACCGGGAUAACACCGGGAAACUGGUGCUAAUACGGGAUACGCUCAAGUGAACACAUGUUUGUUUGAGGAAAAGGAGCAAUCCGCAUUAAGAUGGGUCCGCGUCCCAUUAGCUAGUUGGAGGUGUAAGAGACCCCCAAGGCGACGAUGGGUAGCCGGCCUGAGAGGGUGAACGGCCACACUGGAACUGAGACACGGUCCAGACUCCUACGGGAGGCAGCAGUGGGGAAUCUUCCGCAAUGGGCGAAAAAGCCUGACGGAGCAACGCCGCGUGAAUGAUGAAGGCCUUCGGGUUGUAAAAUUCUGUCUUCAGGGGAGAAACAAAUGACGGUACCUGAGGAGGAAGCCCCGGCUAACUACGUGCCAGCCGCGGC